UUAUAAAGCUGCAACAUGACUUUGUUUCUCUUCUACUCAAUGCCUCAACCAAUGAAGUAAAACAUACCAUACUCCUUCUUUUCCAUUCUAUCUUCUUGUGCUGCCAUUUUCA